GUCUAUGACCAUACCACACUGAAUGCACCCAGUCUCAUCUGAUCUUGGAAGCUAAUCAGGGUAGGAUCUGGUUAGUACUUGGAUAAGAUUUGUUUCUUUCACCUUUGAACUAACAGGGUGAAAGAGAUUUUGCAGAUG
ensembl:rRNA 5S_rRNA 5S ribosomal RNA